GUGAAUCAUCGAAUCUUUGAACGCACAUUGCGCCCCCUGGCAUUCCGGGGGGCAUGCCUGUCCGAGCGUCAUUUCUGCCCUCCAGCCCGGCUGGGUGUUGGGCGCUGUCCCCCCGGGGACACGCCCCAAAGGCAGUGGCGGCGCCGCGUCGGGUCCUCGAGCGUAUGGGGCUUUGUCACCUGCUCGGGAAGGACUCGUCGGCGCUGGUCUUCCUCCAGGCGACCCUUCGGGGCUCGUCUUCCUUCGGUUGACCUCGGAUCAGGUAGGGUUACCCGCUGAACUUAAGCAUAUCAAUAAGCG
rnacentral:misc_RNA from 1 species